AUUGAACGCUGGCGGCAGGCCUAACACAUGCAAGUCGAGCGAGCGGCGGACGGGUGAGUAAUGUAUGGGGACUGCCCGAUAGAGGGGGAUAACUACUGGAAACGGUAGCUAAUACCGCAUACUAUCGGAUAACCCAUAUGGGAUUAGCUAGUAGGUGAGGUAAUGGCUCACCUAGGCGACGAUCCCUAGCUGGUCUGAGAGGAUGAUCAGCAAGACUGGGACUGAGACACGGCCCAGAAGCCGAAGGAGGCAGCAGUGGGGAAUAUUGCACAAGGGGCGCAAGCCUGAUGAAGCCAUGCCGAGUGUAUGAAGAAGGCCCUAGGGUUGUAAAGUACUUGCAGUCGGGAGGCGUUACCGACAGAAGAAGCACAGGCUAACUCCGUGCCAGCAGCCGCGGUAAUUC
rnacentral:rRNA from 1 species